AGAUUACCCAGGCCUUGCACCUGGAUCAAUGGGCUGCCCUAAUGAAGGAUAUCAAAAAUGAAGGGGCAGCUAAAGAAAAAUAAAAGACACCUCAGAAAGUAGCCUGCCUCUUUGACAAGGGACAUGCCUUCAGAGGAACAUAACAGAAACCUCUGAGAAUUGUCAACAAUAAAAAGACUGAGCAACAAGGGAAACUGGUAGGAAGCCAAAGGUUUUAAGAGGUGAGAGUGGAGAAAUGCUGUGCUUUUAUUGAUCCUCUCCAAAGGAACACCUUUAAAAAAGCCAAAAGAAGAUGGAUGUUCCAGCUCAAACAGAGAACAAAUCCUCUGCCUUCCCUCUGCCAUUUUGUUCUAUUUGGGCCCUCAAUGGACUGGAUGAUGCCAGCCUAUACUGGUGAAGGAGAUCUUUACUCAGCCUACUGAUUCAAAUGCCAAUCUUUUCCAGAAACACCCCUGAAAUGGUGUUUUACCAGCGAUCCAAGCAUCCCUUAGCCCAGUCGACACAUAAAAUUAACCAUCACACU
rnacentral:lncRNA from 1 species